ensembl:lncRNA
GGCUUUACCAUGAGCUGGCAGUCAGAAAUCAAAGUAAAAUGCAAUGUGGAAAGAGAAUGAGUGGUUACAGAGCGCUCUCUGCUAGGCUCUUCCACAUGUUACCUCAUUCUUCUCUCUAUAACCCACUCAAGAGGUAGACAUUUACUCCUUUUCACAGAUGAAAAAUGGAGGCUCAGAGAGGCCAUACAACUUAACAUAGGUCACACAGCUAGUAAAUGCUACCUCUUCCAGACCUGUCUUCUCAGCUUGACUCUUCUACUUUACUUGGUGAUACACCAAUCUAUCUGGCAAUGUGGACACUUAGCAACCACACAAUUGAAAUGAUGCUGAUAACAACCUUCUCAAUUAGGACUGAAGAAGUGUGUCUAACAUUCUGGAAAACACACCACCCAACCCCCCAAGGUGCCUGAGUUUAUGUAAAAAGAGAGAUUGUCUUCGCUGUCAAGGUUUCCUGCCUCUCACUUCACUCCCACAGCUAUGUGUGUGAAUAUUCAGAAGCAAGGUUGGAGCUGAUUUGGAGUGAUGACUCUAAAGAAGAGAUAAGUUGCGUGGUGAAAACAAACAAAAGGAGAAAUUAUUGAAGAAUCCUUUCCUCAAAAAACUCCAAGUAGGACUUGGGCUUGGUGAUCUGUUUAUAAAGCCUCUUCAGAUCUUCAUCUGGGAGCAUUUUAUGGAGCAGGUGGAUAUCCUACUGCUUGGAGCUGUGAGCUCGCUUUGGAGACCAUCUUCCCCUUGGAAUAUGGCAGAUGACUGAGAAAUGAGGUGAACCCUGAUAGUGUGGACCACAGAUAGCUUAACUCUUUGAAGAUAUGCCUAUUUUGACUCCACCUAUAAGAGAGCACUACUCUGCCUGCUAAGACAGAAUGGAACUCUGCUGAGAUGGAACAUGACAGCCACUCAUAACACCACACAUCCUUUUCCAAGCAGCUUGUUAUACAAAUGAAACAUUGUUCUCACAUGGCAAAUUUACAAAGGCAGAAGAUACGAUGAAUUUGGAUAGUGUGAUGGAUCAUAAAGAGACAGAGUCUUCUUCCCUUCCCCUUGAACUGAGUUGAUCCUGACAUAUUUUGGCAGUAGAAUAUGGUAGAAGUGAUGUUGUGUAACGACACUCCUUGGAACCCUGUGAGAAGCCCAAGUAAAAUGAAGAAGCCACGUGAAAGAGAACCCAGGUACUCCAGUCAACAGCCCCAGCUGAGCUUCCAGCAACAUAAACUUCCAGAAGCACAUCUUUCCAUGAACGUACUUAGAACAUUAUAUCUGAUGAAAACAGAAUGCAGUAACACAGGAGAUUUCUUCAACAUCAUGUCAUUUAAGCUCCAAAGUAAGAGAUUGGAGAGUUACUCUGUCCCUGUCAGCCCAUCUUUGGAAUGUCUGGCCACCCUCACUGUGAUGCCACUGGAGGUGUUGGGAUUAUACCCAGGGAAGGGUUGAUGGGCGUUCCUCUGAGCAUCAGAAGGACGUGCCCCUGAACUGCCAAGACACAUGGACGGAAGUAAUCUUUCUACUUUGAUAGGACAAGAAGAGGUUUGCUUUGGUUGAGCAUCUAGAGGACUUCACUCACUGCAUUAGUUUCCUGGGGCUGCCAUAACAAAGCACCACCAACUGGGAGGCUCAGAACAACAGAAAUUUAUUGUCUCACAGUUCUGGAGGCUAAGCCAGAAAUUGAGGUGUCAGCAGGCCCAUGCUCCCUGGAGAGCCUGGGUAGAAUCCGGUCCUUGCCUCUUCCUAGCUUCUGGUGGUGGCUGCCAAUCCUUGGCAUUCCUAGAAUAACCUAGGGGCUUGAUAGAGCAGAUUCCCAGCUCCUACUCACUGGAAAAUCUAGGAACGUGGCGCGGGUCUCAAGUUUCCAAUUUUAAGAAAGUGUCUCAGGUGUUUUUGAUGGCAACAGCAUUUAGGAAGACUGGACCAGCUGCCUGUAACACAUCUUCCACCUCUAAGCAUUUAUGAUACCUUCUCUUUGGAUCCUGCCUUAGUCACCUGGAUAAGUUUUGCAUUUUCCUGGGACGCAUCUUGUUCUACAUCCUCCGAAAAUGAACACACAUGAGCGUACAUAUACACACUCAAGACAGAGGCCUUGAGAUUUUCUGAAGGAGCAGAAGGCUUUUCCUCACAGAGAUGGACCAUAGCAGCUUUCCCACCAAGAAGCAGAAUGCAGACACACGACCAUCUAUGCAGGAAAGGUACCCACUCUGUGCUGAAUACAGUGCUAGUCACUUUGGAGGAAACACAAAGCAAAGAAGCACCACCUCCCCUCAAGAGACUUCCAAUCUCCCCAAGUGGUGCAGACAAGACAAAACAGAUGAAGCAAGAAGAAAUUAUAUCAUAUCCAUCAAAUUUUGCUCAAGUUGUAGAGUCUGGAGAGCAUAAAUUUAUCUUAACUUCAUUAAAAAACUCACAGGCAGAAUUACAGGGCACUGAGUUUAACCGGGGAAGACAUUGGAGUAACCUUUGUGCCUUGUAAAGACACAUUGAUUGGAGCCAACUCUACCCUUUGACUCAAUAAUCAAAAUCUUGGUAUUUGAUCAGAAUUCUGGAGGCCAGAAGUCUGAAACCAAGAUGUCGGCCCCCCCUUCAGAGGCUCUAGGGGUGGAAUCUAUUCCUAAAUUCUUCCAGUGUCAAGCAGCUGUCAGCAUUCCUCGGCUUGUGGCCACAUCUCUCUCUGCUCCAUCUUCACAUCACCUUCUCCGAGAUGCAACCAACAAACACCCUGAACCAGACGGAACCCCGCUGCAAGAGCAGCACCAUUGCAGAUGAACUGAGAGUUGCCACCUGAGCCUGUGCAAGUGGAUGCCCAUAUCUCCCUUUUGAAUAUUCAUUCCCCACCUGAAAUAAGAGGUGCCUGCUUCCCUGUGUUCAGGGACUGCCAUGACUUUGGAAACAAUUCCACAUGGCCUCCUAUUUGCUGCAAAUAAAUGCUACUUUGUGUG